CAGAAAAUUGCCUUACCAAAAGAGGUUAUGCUUGCUGGAGAAGUAACAUGCUCCCUCACCUCCAUCUUGCCUUGAUUGUCCACGGCUGAUGACUGACGGACACAGUGGUAUAAAAGCCCAGUCUGUAGGUGUAACACCAAGCAGAACCUGACCUGAAAAUGUUGUUGAAAAAUGUCUCCGGUUCCAGGAGAAAUUCUACUGAACGCAUCAAUCAUGCUGUUGGAGUUUGAGUUAUCUGGAACAAAGAACUUUAAACCUCCUGAAAUACAUGAUUAGGAUGUUAACUAUUAAAAUGUAUAAAAUAAAACAAAAAAUAACACGUUAGGUCUUUUUCAACAACCUUUCUUAUGGGGAAGGAGUUGGGCUUGACUUGCUUUGCAUAGUAUCCUACCGGCCACAUGGUAAGCAGCAGAGAUUUUCAACCACAGAUGAACCCAGGGCAAUGGAAUGAAUGGUUGAACCACUGCUGAGCACGAUGAGAGAACAGUUCAGGAAGAUUAUUUUGCUCCUGAUUAUAGACAGCAAGUGAAGAAGCUAGGAGAGACUAAAAUUUUAACCAUUAUCUGAGAGUGCUGGGUUUUCAGAAGUGGUUUUCUGGAAGGCUGUGAGCUUCCUGCAUGACUGAGAAAAACAUUAUUGGCAUCAGUAAAACCAUAUGCUCAAAAAUGAAAGCCAGAAGCGGUACAGAGAGUCACUUUCCAGCAACGACGAGAGAAGAGUUUCUUCUUGCCACCGUGCACACUUGUGUGAGUUGUUCUCUGGCUGAGGGGCUGCUGAGGACUGGCACAGAGCCCUCUCUCCACUUGUUCAUGACAAUAGUUACAAUGACCGCUGUAGCACGAGGAGCGGAAUGUUGGCUUGGGAUGGCAUGCUGCUUUAUAAAGAGCAGCUACAAGGAGCAAUCUUGUCCCAUUUCAUCUGAACAAGUACGCUCAGGUUUUGCUCCUCCUAGACUGAAGGUCGAGAUAUGUCCAUUUUUGUCUACCUGCUUUUUGCGUCUUUGGGUUUAGAAUCCAAUGCCUGGAUCUGGCCACUCGACUGGCAUCCACUUUCAUCAUCUGUCCCUAGCGGAUUCUAGUCACUGACCCAUUCUCUGACCAGGUCUGGGGUGUCACAUUCACUCCUGAAAGCCUUUUCUCCCACUUCUGCUUUGCCCUCAGCAACUAGGCCUGGGGCGAGGCCAGCUAAAGAUCUCUUCUUUCUGCCUUCUGCUUUGACCUGGCCAACCUGACAGGAGACAAAAGUAAAAAGCUCUUAAAAUUGACUUGGCUAAGGGACUUAAAAGUCGUUCCUGAGGUGAGUGUCCAUUUCUGAUAAAGUGUGACUUUGUAACCCCAAAUCCCACAAUUUAUCCUUUCAUUCCCCAAAUAUUCACCGCUCAUAUCUAUAGCAUUUUAUGAUAUCUAAAAAAUGAAAUACACCCAAAGUGAAGAAAAAUGGGAAUUCAAUGUUCAGGCAUUUAUUUCAGGUUGUAGUAAUUCUAGGAAUCUGCUCUGCUUUUAUCUGCUUUCAAGAAAAUAAGAGUUAUUCCAUUUCAGUAACUGAAGAAUCUAGAGCACAUCUUUGUUCAUUGUCUGAAUUUGCAGCUCUUCCUGGCCCCAAAAGGCCUCUCUGUUUUCAGGGAGUCUGCAGGCAGAAACCCACAGAGUGAGCCAAACAUGCAGUUGGUAUCGGAGAAGUCAGGAGAUCUGACGUCUUGAAGAGUCCAAAGAAGUUUCGAGUGAUUUCUUCUCAGGCUUUUGUUUUGUCUCUUUAGCAAUCCUGUUUAGAACAGGAAAGCUCACCAUGGGGCAGGGCUACAAAGCCUGUGGAUCACUUUAGUUUUGCAACAUUUAUCAGAUAAAUCAAAAUGGAAGUGAGACAAAUUGUAAAGAGUAAGAGACGGAAUAAAGCACAGUCUGCCAAGGACUCGGAUGGCACAUUUCAUGGCUCCCUUAUCCCAUUUUCUUCAAACUUACAUUUAUUUUCAAAGCAAGUGAGUGAAGUGGGUGGUCCAGAUAGAGUCCGGGAAGUCACUGGAGUUUUGCUGAGUCACCACCGUGUCAGAACUUGAAGCACUUCUACUUCUACUUCUUUUAAUUCUCGUGAUGCAGUCUUUCACUCCCUAGGCUUGCUGUUAAGCCUCCUCCCCAUCCUCACUGUGCCAAGAACUGUGCAGAUGAUUUCAUGCAUGAAAAAACAAAAGAACCUCUAAAAUUUACCAAAAUGAAUGGAAAACAAGAACUACUUUUAAUGAUAAUCUAAUAAAGAACAUGGGAGAAAGGGUAUAGAAUAUUACUCAUUUGUAAAAUGGGCAUAAAAUUGUGUUCCAUAAAAUACUCUUUUAUCUAUU